UUUGGGCUGGCUCAGUGGUAGAGCGCUUGCCUUGCAUGCAUUAGAACCUGGGUUCAAUUCCUCGGUACCACA
rnacentral:tRNA from 1 species